GAUCCUGGCUCAGGAUGAACGCUGGCGGCGUGCUUAACACAUGCAAGUCGAACGGAGAGCCUAUGAGGGAGUUUUCGGACAACUGAUUAGGUUUCUUAGUGGCGGACGGGUGAGUAACGCGUGAGUAACCUGCCUUGGAGUGGGGAAUAACACAUCGAAAGGUGUGCUAAUACCGCAUAAUGCAGUUGGGUCGCAUGGCUCUGACUGCCAAAGAUUUAUCGCU
rnacentral:rRNA from 1 species